rnacentral:rRNA from 1 species
GAUGAACGCUGGCGGCGUGCCUAAUACAUGCAAGUCGAGCGAACAGACGAGGAGCUUGCUCCUCUGACGUUAGCGGCGGACGGGUGAGUAACACGUGGAUAACCUACCUAUAAGACUGGGAUAACUUCGGGAAACCGGAGCUAAUACCGGAUAAUAUAUUGAACCGCAUGGUUCAAUAGUGAAAGACGGUUUUGCUGUCACUUAUAGAUGGAUCCGCGCCGCAUUAGCUAGUUGGUAAGGUAACGGCUUACCAAGGCAACGAUGCGUAGCCGACCUGAGAGGGUGAUCCGCCACACUGGAACUGAGACACGGUCCCGACUCCUACGGGAGGCAGCCGUAGGGAAUCUUCCGCCGUGGGCGAAAGCCUGACGGAGCAACGCCGCGUGAGUGAUGAAGGUCUUCGGAUCGUAAAACUCUGUUAUUAGGGAAGAACAAAUGUGUAAGUAACUAUGCACGUCUUGACGGUACCUAAUCAGAAAGCCACGGCUAACUACGUG